rnacentral:lncRNA from 1 species
UUUCUACCCAAUAUGCUAAGUGUGCUUCCAUUGAAAUCUCCAUCAGUGAAUGCCAUGGUCAUCACCAUCAUUAGUCCCAUCUCCUCUUGUGAUAUUGAAGUGUAAAUUCCUUGAGCCUUACCCACAAGUUUCGAGUCACGUUCAGGACCAGCAGUCAAUGGGUCAUCCAUGGCCACAACGGUCCCGAAUGGCAACGCAUUUUUUACCUUGCCAUUGGGCUCAGCUACAAAUACCAUGCUAGGUUUUGGUCCUGACACGAUGUCGUGAAAGUAAAAGUGAAGGUGAGUGAAUUUCUCUUCUUGAAAACCCAACAUUGUUGGGGAUAGGUUUUGAUAGUAAUUAGUGGCAGUGGCAAGGGAUAUUAUAGAGAGGAAAGUAAGGUUCAAAGAAAUUAGAAGAGUUAUGGAGAAUGUUGAGGAUUUUGCCAUGGUUGAUGCGAAUGAACAAAGAAUGUAGUUUUUGUUGUUGAGGAUAAUGAACUAAGAAUGCUUAUUGCUUAUUUCAAUUCGUUGUAUACAUGCCUAUUUAUAAUAGGUGUGGCUGCUUUGUUCAUUUGUAUAUAUUGAUUUGUCUAAAGCUGAAGUUUGUUGACCAAAAACUUUUAGAUAUAUGUCAAAAUAUGGUGGAAAAAUGAUAGACGCCAGAAACAUGUAAAGCGUUGUCAACGAAACAUCCGAGAAAUAUAGUGGAGAAAAAAAUAUAACUCAAUCGUAUUCACUCAGACUAAUGACUUUUUUUUUUUUUUUUAUGGGAAACCAUCAUUUUUGACAUUUUGGCUUCCUAACAUUAGUGGUUGUUAACAUUAUACAUAGAGUUUAAACAAUCUUGCAUAACAAUGUCAUGUCUUCCUUUCAAUAAAAAAUAAAACAAUGUCAUGUCUUCUAAGUCAUGUUUUUUACUUCAUGAAUAUUGUAUUUAAGAGGAUUGAUUUUGCAAUCUAAAAAGGUCUAACGACACAACUUGUUAUUUGUCUGUCUUCUAUUCAUGUUAAUUAAAAACGAGUCUUUUAUUAUGCGGCAACUUGCAUGAGUGGUUGCGACAUCCUUUACUGUGUAUGGACAUCUCUGUAAUUUUUUUUUUUUUUUUUUGCGGCAGCUUGCAUUUGUUUUUGGUUUUGGUGACACCGUAAAAACUCUAGUUGGCCUCCUUUAGCACAUCUUGGAGAGUCACUUUCUAUGUGUUAAUAUAAUCUUAUUUUGACAUGUUAAAAAAAAAAAAAAAAAAGUCAACUAAAUCAAGCCUUCCUAUUAAAGAAAAAAGUGAACCAAAUACCACGCAUUUUUUAUGAGCCAACCGUAAAUAAAUUUUCUAAUUAGUGUUGCAUCAUUUGCACCUCUAGAAGAUAUGAGGUGGCUCAUAUUUUCGUCAUGGUGUGAAAAAGAUGUUUAAAAGGCGUAUAAAGAAUUUUUUUUCCGUCAUUCAAAUUCAAAUGCUGGAAAUUUUAUAAACGGGAGAGGAAUGUUAUUUUAUUCAACAGAGAAGAGAACUUAGCUAGCUUCCAGUGUUAUGGGGUGUGUAGGACUUGACCGAAAAUUUAAUAUUAGUGCCAAGCCUUUGGUUGGAGGCUGCUAUAUAGAUAUGAUUGUGGCCGGUACAUUGGACACGUACAAAACUCAAAGAAUAGAAAUCAAAUUUGAGUAUUAGAUAGACUAUUACUCCAUUAGAAUAGAAGAGUGGGGUAUUAGUGUAUUACAUUAAUAGAUUAUUAUAGUUAAAUAUAAUUUUAGUCUCCAAGACCAAGGCUUAAGAUUUUUAUGUCCCAAACAAAUAUCUUUUUAAUAAUUUUAAAUGUUUUUCUAUUUGUAUCUUUUGUUGUAAAAGAUUUAUUUAGUGUUAAGCUCAUGAGUACAUAACUUUUUAUGGUUUAAUGCUGGUAAGUGUAUUUGUUUGCAUUCAUUUUCUGCAAAUUCAAUACGGAAACUUUUAGUUAUGACGUUAAGGGUUGAGUCAUGAUGUAAUUUUAUUGAGUACGUCAAGGAUUGAAAACAACAAUUUUAAAUUUGUUUUUACAAAAAUAAUAAUAAUAACUGCAGAGAUUGAAUUGAAACAAAAAAUAUUAUAAGAAAUGAAGCCAAAAAAUUUCUAUAAUUGACAGAACUAAAAUCAAAUUUAAAUCCAUUAAGAUUGUUAUAACAUCUAAUCGAGUUGCAUAGAAAAGACCAACAAACUAUUAGUGUGUCGAAUAUGAACCACCCAAAAUGAUCCAAAGGUAAACAUUUUCCAUUAGUAAACAUAAAUCAUAAUAUAUAACAAAAUAUAGAAAAUAAUAUCUUGUUAAAAAUUACUAUAAACUAGGUCCUUACAAACUAUUAAAACAAUUAGGUUUUUUUUUUUUUUUACAGAAUAUUAAGACAUUUAGUUAUAUUUAUUUACAAUUGUAUCAUUAAAAAAUGUUGAACCUAUCUUAUCUAUCAUAUUAUUUAUCAUUUUUUACUACUCAUUUAUUAUUUAUUGUUAGUUAUAAAAGAUAUGUAAAAAAAAUUGUAGGCAUUUAAAAAAUUAUAAUUAAUAGAAUUGAAAAUUUGAAAUGAGUCAAACAAAAAGGACAACAAAUUUUUUAUUUAGCUAUCUUUUACAAAUAUUUUUCUUAAUAGUCCUCUUAAACUUGAAGAUGAACAACAUAACAAUUGAUCAUGCCGGAUCUGGAGAUCUCUAGUUGGUGAUGGUGAAUGCCUUUGAAGGUUGGAUCUUCGUCACUAGCAACCUUCUUCUUCAGAGGAGAGUUUGCAGUUUUCGUACAUACUUCCACAAUGAAGUCAAUAACUGGACAAUGAGCAUACUUGGACCAAUGUCAUGAGUUAAUGGAUUUAGGAUUUUAGGGUGAUAGAAGAGGUUUAGGGUUUUGCCCUUGAAUUGUUAACUGGACAAUUGUCCUCGAGGGACACAUAUAAACAUAUUAAAAGGCCAUCAUUUUAUUUGUCCUAAACGGUCUAUAUCUUUCCAUGGGGUCUUAAUCCAGUGAUAUUUAGGGUGAUUCCAUGCUAUGGUCCUUACAUAUAAGCUUUGAAGGGUACCUGGAUUCAGGCAUGGAUUGAACAUUGACCCAAUAUGGAACAACAACACAAGACAUCAUGAGUUUUUUUAAUAAUCGGAGAUCAUGAAAUAUAAGGAAACAUGAGAAGGGGAAACAAAACUGUAUUGGAUGCUCAACCCAGUUUUAACGGAAUUCAUGGGGAGGUUGAGGGUACCUCCGUACAUGGGAAUUGGUCAAAAUAUUUCUCCUUCGUUUUUUUUCUUCGUUGAAUUAAAACUAAAAAUAAAUAUAUUGAAUUUAUAAACGAAUGUGGUAUUACAUGUUUAUUUCACCUAUUUGACUUUCACUUUAGGCGAGAGUGUGUAACAGAAGCAUAAUAACAAUUUACUGAAUAACAAAUCAAAAUAUAAACUCUACUUUUAUGAAGCACCUAUAAGGCUAGACCUAACUAAUAAUGGAACAUAAAUAUGUCAUACUCCACAAUGGCAUCUCCUUUAGUGUAAUCAACGGAAUAAAAUUUAGCUUGAGCAUAACCACGUACAAAACGAAAAGCCCCAGUUCCACCAACAAUGGCCAUUUCUCUAACAGGUUCACUCAUGAUCAUAUUUCUACCCAAUAUGCUAAGUGUGCUUCCAUUGAAAUGUCCAUCAGUGAAUGUCAUGGUCAUCACCAUCAUUAGUCCCAUCUCCUCUUGUGAUAUAGAGGUGUAAAUUCCUUGAGCCUUACCCACAAGUUUUGAUUCACGUUCGGGUCCAGCCGUCAAGGGGUCAUCCAUCGCCACAACUGUCCCGAAUGGCAAGGCAUUUUUUACCUUGCCAUUGGGCUCAGCUACAAAUACCAUGCUAGGUUUUGGUCCUGACACGAUGUCGUGAAAGUAAAAAUGAAGGUGAGUGAAUUUCUCUUCUUGAAAACCCAGCAUUGUUGGGGAUAGGCUUUUAUAGUAAUUAGUGGCAGUGGCAAGGGAUAUUAUGGAGACGAAAGUAAGGUUCAAAGAAAUGAGAAUUGUGGAACAUGAUGAGAAUUUUGCCAUGGUUGAUGUGAAUGAACUAAGAAUGCUUUUUGUUGUUGUUGUUGAGGAUCGGAUAAUGAACUUAUAAGAAUGCUAUUACUAUGAAAAAUGUCUCUGAUCCGAUCAGUGGUAUAUUUCAAUUGGUUUGGAUACAUGCCUAUUUAUAUAAUAGGUGUGGCUGCUUCUUUCAUUUGUUUAUAAUAUUAUCUGUCUCAAGCUGAUGUUUCUUGACCAAAAACUUUAGAUAUAUGUCAAAAUACGGUAGAAAAAUGACAGACGCCAGAAACAUGUAAAAUGUUAGUUUUCUUAGCAAACGAAGCAUCCGAGAAAUAUAGUGAAAAAUUUAUAAGCUCAAUCAUAUUUUCUCAAAUUAAUUAUUAUUUUUUAGUAUAAAAUAAUUUGUCGUGUAAUCAAUAUGCUGAAACAAUUCUUCAUUGUUUGUGAGAUUAUGAAUUCGCAACCAUUUUCUGGAAAUCUAUUGGUUUUGUGGACCACCUAUUCUACCAAGGCGAUGACUUAUAAUAUGACUGGUUGCGGUAAGGAACGAUUGGCACCACUAUUUUUCUAUUUCUGGCUGCUUGUUGGUGGUUGUGGCGUGAGAGAAAUAAGUUGUAUUUUGCAAAUGAAUUGGUGUCUUCCUUCACCUUAAGGCACACCACUUUUAAUUAUAUGCUCAGUUGUUAUCGAAGUGUUUCCUUAAACAGGGGCAUGAAUCUGCCACGAGGUCGGUAAAGUGGAAUGUGUCCUAUGUGAAUGGCAUGAUUUUAUAUGUUGAUGGGUGCAGUCUUGGUAACCCCGGUGUCUCCGGGUUUGGCGGUUUGCUUCGUAAUGAUGAUGGUGCUUGGUAUUGCGGAUUUGCAGGUAAGAUUGGGUUUUCCAAUAUCCUGCAUGCAGAACUCUUGGCAGUUUAUCAUGGAUUGAGAUUGGCUUGGGAAUUUGGCAUGUCAGAGUUGGUGUGUUAUUAAGAUUCUAAAACAGCAAUCAAGUGGAUUAAGCAACCUGUUAACGGAAGGUAAUGUCUGUGUUGAUUACCUUGCAAAGAUUGAGGCUAGCUCUCAUGAGGCACGCCAGUCUUUUGUUGCACCUCCAGCUGGAAUCAGCAACCUCCUACUAGCAAAUGCGAGUGGGAUCUUUUUCCCUAGAUAGUUGUUUCUUCUUUUUGUUUUUCUUUUUGCAUUUUGUUACCAAAAAAUAAAUAAUGAUUUGAUAUGAGUAAAAUCAUUUAGGAUAAUUUUCAUUUCUAAAAAAAUGGGAUGACAUUAGUUAUAAUUGGGAAAGAAAAGUUAAAAAGUUUUGUAUUGAUCAAGAAUUCAAGACCCUCUCUAUUUUUUAAAGAAAUUGUGGGCUCUAUUUAUGAAAUGGAAAUACGCACUCAAGAAUUUAGUGGAUCUCAUAUUUAGCUGGACCUAUAUUUUGUGACUCAUCAAACUCCUUAAUGUGAUUUUUUCCGCUCAUUAACGAAACCAUCCAUUUCUUUGAGAAAUAAAGAUGAUAUUUUUACCAUCUUAAUCCAUUUGAUGGUACCCACCAAUUAAUAUCAUUUUUCGUGCUGAUAUAUCUUCAAAUGGAAUCAUUAAUUUCGUUUGAGAAAUGGAUAUGACCUUGUUGGAGCAAUAUUUAAGAAUGGUUCAAAAGUAUUUAAGCUACCGAGAAAAAUUACUGCCAUGAGUCGUCGACUAGGACACUCUUUUUAAAACUAUCAACUAUGACAUCCCAAUAUAAAACAACACAUCUACAAUUGUAUUUGAAUCAUACUACAUUGUAAGAUACUAAGAUCCAUUCUAGAAAUACACCUUUAAAAUGGUACUUAGACCACUUAAUAUGAUACCGAGACCACUCUAACUUCCGAAGGAACAAAUUAAUCGAAGGGGCAGAAAAGGAGAAGAAAGAAAAUCCGUUGAUAGAUGAGUUUUGGUGUGAAGAGAAGUUAGGGUGAGACAUUAUUUUAUUAGUGCAAGAGCCAAAGAGGCAACCAAAAUGGAGGGAUGGGAUCAGUUGACCAUCAUGGGAUCAACGACAUGAUCUCACCUCAUUAAGAAUUGGCGCAGAAAUGAGUUUGCAUUUGCAAAUCACAAGAGGACAAGAGGACUCACACGUUGGUGUUUUCAAACACAUGUUGAUGCGUGCAAACCUGUGACGAGAAGAAGACAUGUACCAAAUAAAAUUAAUUCCAAAAAAUUAAUUAAUUUAAGAUUUCGGAUCUUUAAAAAAUAAUACACAACUUAGUCCAAACUCAUGCCCAGAUCCGACCUGACGACAUCAUUGUCUUCACGUGUGUAGUGUUGAAAUUGAUUGCAUCAUCUCCCCUUUAAAAAAUUGGAUAUCUCUUUGGGGCAAGCCCCAAGAGCCCUUCCUCCAAUAUAUAAAUACUUGUGUUGUGAGAAGUAUCUCCAAUGUGGGACUUGUCGAAAUUUUUUAAUUCACACACAAACACACUUUUGUUCUUAAUUCAAUUUUUCACUUGAAUUUAAAAUAACUCGGAAGUUUCUUUUAAGAUUGUGCAUAAGUAGAUGUGUUUUGCAACUUGAACAAUUGUAUAGUGAAUAAGAUUCAGAUUUAUUAGAGUGACUCGUAAUCUUAAACUCUAUCUCUAAUAUCAAAACGUACACAAUAUUUUCUUAUGUGUAUUUUCAAAAAGUUUGUCCAUUAAGACCUUACAUAUCAAUCUUGAUUUAACAAAUGCUCUACGAAUUUUUCCUAGAAUUUCAUAGGAAUAGACCCUGACUUGCACAUUCACAAAGGUCCGUAUGUCAAGAGUACUGCUCUUAUAUCAGAGUAUUCCACUUUGCGUAAAUGUACGUAUGUCAAGGGUACUCUUGUAUCAAAGUACUCCACUCUACAUAGAGUAAAAAUCUCAUGAACAAUUUCCUUUAAUUCACGUCCUCUUUAUCGCUUUAGAAAUCAUGUUUUUAUGUUCUCCUUCUGUUACCUCACAACAUAUGUUUAAUCGCCUACUAAAAGCAUAAGUGAAUAGUUUCAUUGUUGAAUAAAAUAUUACAGAAGCAGAUAUAAUGUUUAAACCCACACACAAAAACUUAUAUAUGUUAAAAAAAUCACUAAACAAAAUAACUAAAAAAUAUGUCUUCAAAGAUAACUUUUCACUAGUAUGUAUAGUACGCUAUACCGACUCGUUAAAAUAGAAAUGGAAUAUCACGAGACUCACAAGUCACAAUGCUAGCAAUUCAAAUAAUGGUCCUUUGUCCCUUUGGAGGAAACACUAUAAUGAGUCUGAAGAUAUCUAUUUCUUUAGUGGUAUAUUAAAGUGACAAUAAUUAACAAUGUAUACUGAAUUUAAUAACCAAUGUGGUAUUACAAUGUUUAUUUCAUCGGUUUGCCUUUCACAUUGGGUGAGAGUUUGACAAGAACAAAAUAAUAAUAAAUGUAAAAUAAUCUCUACUUUUAUGAAGCACCUAUGCCUAACUAAUAAUGGAACACAAAUAUGUCAUAUUCUACAACGGCAUCUCCUUUUGUAUAAUCAACCGAAUAAAACUUAGCCUGAGCAUAUCCACGUACGAAACGAAAUGCCCCGGUUCCACCAACUAUGGCCAUUUCUCUAACAGGUUCACUCAUGAUCAUGUUUCUACCCAAUAUGCUAAGUGUGCUUCCAUUAAAAUGUCCAUCAGUGAAUGCCAUGGUCAUCACCAUCAUUAGUCCCAUCUCCUCUUGUGAUAUAGAAGUGUAAAUUCCUUGAGCCUUACCCACAAGUUUCGAGUCACGUUCGGGCCCAGCCGUCAAUGGAUCGUCCAUGGCCACAACCGUCCCGAAUGGCAACGCAUUUUUUACCUUGCCAUUAGGCUCAGCUAUAAAUACCAUGCUUGGUUUUGGUCCCGACACAAUGUCAUGAAAGUAAAAGUGAAGGUGAGUGAAUUUCUCUUCUUGAAAACCCAGCAUUGUUGGAGAUAGGCUUUGAUAGUAAUUAGUGGCCGUGGUAAGGGAUAUUAUGGAGAGGAAAGUAAGGUUCAAAGAAAUUAGAAGAGUUAUGGGGAAUGUUGAGGAUUUUGCCAUGGUUGUGUUAAUGAACUAAUAACUAUGAACUCAGAUCCGAUUGGUGGUAUAUUUCAAUUAGUUUUUAUACAUGCCUAUUUAUAAUAGGGGGUGGCUGCUUCACUUAUUUGUCUAUAGUGUUUGUUGCAACUUGCACCUCAAAUAGUUGAGUCAACACGCAUUAUUGUCUUUAACUUGUUUUUUUGACCAAAAACUUCUAGAUAUCAAAAUAUUAUGGAAAAAUGAUAGGCGUAGUUUGAGCAAACGAAGCAUCCGUGAAGAAGUAUAGUGGAAAAAUUAUAAAUAUAGCUCAACCAUAUUUACUCAAUAAGCAAUGAACUUUCCUUAAAAAAAGAAAAAAUGAACUUUGAGUCUAACCGAAGAGAUUAAACUUCCGUAACAAAAUCAUGUUUGAAUUUUGCUAAAAAAAAAAGGUACUCAUAUUUGGUAUCGAAUUAUAUCUCGAAAAACCUAAAAAAAAAAAAAAAUCACAUUACUUUUAAUCCACCUAAAUUUCUUUUAUUAUAAAAUAAAAUUGAAAGUAGGUGGCAUCAUAGCAUGAAAUGUCCCCAUCCAACGUUGGUUUUUAUGGCAGCCGUUGGUUUUUUACAGUUAUUUAUUUGUCUUGUACUGCAACUAAAAUAUUAAAAAAAAUUGGGCAAAACGUGAACACGUUUAUCAACUUAUAUUAUUUCAGUUUAUGUUUUUUUUUUUAUGAAAUGGUUGUUGAUGUCACAGUUACAUAAAACUAAUAAUAUUCAACUUGUUAUAAGUUAAGGAAAAAGCAAUGAUAUUUGUACAUUUCAUGAAAAUUUUAGUGACAAUAUUGUUUUUCUCUCUUUUUAUUGGUUAAAAACAAUGGAGAGAGAAAAAAGAAGAGUGAGGAUAAGACUAUCAUGUGAGUAUGAAAGAGAAAAUUGUACAAAAGUUGUCACAAAUUGGUUGUACAAAUAUCAUUUCUUUAAGAAAAAUGUAUCAUAGAUACUUAUAUAUUCGACUUAUUGAUUUGUCUUCUAACAAAUUUUUUUUUUUUUCUUUUUGUGGUGGCGUGGCCGGGGUUUGAACCCGAACCUUACAUAUAUUAAUGCAUUGUCCUUGACAACUGAGCUAAGCUUACGAGGACGUCUUCUAACAAACUUAAGAUGAGAGCCUAUAAUAAUUUCGGAGUUGAAAAACAAAAUAUGUUAUAUUUGUAGUGAAAAAAACUUAUUUAAACCUUUUCUUUUCUUUUUUUUUCUUUUCUUUCUCCGGUUAUCUUUAUGUCUACCAAGUUUUUUUUUUCUCCUUUUCUAUUAAUAUAUAAUACUCAUUUUAGAAAUUUGAUAUCUGGCUUGUGAGCAAGUAAUUUGGAAGAUCAAUUACAUCGUCUUCUAACGAGGUUAACACAAGAAUCGCUGGCUUCUGAAUGAUUCAAAUAUGAGACUACACUAUCAAACCAACCCUUGAUGUAAUUUUUAUAAAUAGUACUUGCUUAUAAUUGGUCACCUUGAACCGGUAGUGUCAACUUAUAGUAUUUUUAGUUUUGAGGUGAAAAUAAUUGAUUUUUAUAACAAAUUGAAUAUAAAAUGAUUUAUAUUUAAAUAUAUAUUUAUGUAAAAGUUUAUUCAACAAUUAAUUUAAAGUUAAAAUAAAUUUUAUAAAUCAAAGACUACAAAUUUCAACUUCAAAAAUCGAUUCUUCUUCAAAUCAUCCUAAUAUAAUAUAAUCAAUUCUACGAUCUCUGGUUGAAAAUAUUGCUCACUUUCUUUUAUUUGUUAUAUGUUUAAGAAUCGGUUGCUAACAUUGAAAAUUUAACUUCCUAAAAAACCACUAAAAAUUCAUUCAUUAUUCAAGACAUGCUAAGCCGUCGGAGGCUACUAUUGCUGCAUCGUGGCAAGUACAGUGUAUUUUCUUUGUUUGACAAGAAGCCAGGAGGUACGGUGUAUUUUAUUUAAUAUAGCAAUAGGUACAAUGAAUAGCUUUAAACUAUCAUUAUUAUCUUUGGGUCAAUUUUUUAAUAGAAAUGAUCUUUGGGUUAAUUUAUGAUAACAUUUAAACAACUCUCUCCCUUGUAUUCUUAUGUUACUGGCUAGAGCUCACAUUUAAAUGUGAAAAAGUGAGGUGUUCGAGGUUCGUACAUCAACCCCUGCAUAUAAUAUACAAUAUCUCUGUCAACUGAAUUAAGCUCACAGAGAUUCUCUUUAUUCUUUUUAUCAAUAAAAAGAAGAUUAAGAUUAUUUUAAAAUUGUCAUAAAAUGGUUGAAAAAUAUUUAUUAUUUCUCUUCUAUUAAAUUUAUUGGACAAACUAUCAUGAACAGUUAGGGGUGAUGUAAACUAUGAUAGAAAAAAGACAGCCGUAUGCACGAUCUAUUGUGUUUUUCUUUUGGUUUAAUUGCAGUUUUGAUCCCCCUAUUUUCACCAUUUUGCAGAAAUGGUCCCCCUAUUUUAAAAUUCGACAAUUUUGGUCUCUCUAUCAUAUUUUUGAAUUAUAAAUAUGUGAUGUGAUAAAUUUUAAAUGUCGUGGAAUAUGAUCUGAAAAUGAAAAAAGAUUAACAUCGAUAAAAUUGCAACAAAAUUCUCUUGAAAACUUCAUUUAAAAUAUAUCAUAUCACAAUAUUUUAGACAAAAAAUUUGAUAGAGGGACCAAAAUUGUCCAAUUUUAAAAUAGGGGGACCAAUUUCGCAAAAUGAUGAAAAGUGGAGGACCAAAACUGCAAUUAAGUCUUUUCUUUUUAACCUUCGAGUAUGGCAUUCUCUUGAAAAAUUCGUAUUUUUAUAAAGUUUAUUAAUAACUUGAACCUAAUUACAUUAUUUCUAUUGUGUAUUUGUAAUAUUUUUAGUUAGGAUCCGUUAACAUGUGUAAAUCCUUUUACUUACACCAAAUCUCAACCGUUAUUAUUAGGGGGAUGUAUAGGAUUAAGAUUCAAUGGGAUUUUAAAAGACUUUUUAAUUAUGAAAAAGUCUUGUGGUAUUCAAUCAAGACUUUUUGCAACUUAAAAAAAGUCUUGUGGUAUUCAAUCAAGACUCUUUGUCAUUUUAAAAAAGUCUUGAGGUAUUCAAUCAAGACUUUUCAUUACUUAAAAAAAGUCUUGUGGUAUUCAAAAUCAUUCAAAUUUCAAAGGAUUGUUUAAUAAAUUGAAUUUUGAUGGAUUUUGUAGUAUAAUUUUAACAAAAAAAAGUCUUUCAUGAAAAGAUAAGAUUUUUUGAGAUUGUUUUUCUUUUAAAAGUUACUAUCUCCUUCUUCUCCUUUCUCUCUCUCUCUCUCCCUCCCCCUCCUUAUUCUCUCCUUUCUCUCUCCAUUCUCUUUCUCUCUCUCUCUCUCUCUCAUCCCCCCUCUCUCCCUCUCUCUAUCUCAUAAAAAAAUAAAAAAUUGUAUUGAGAAUAUUAUUAUAGAGAGUAUGUCGUAAUCAAUGUUCCGCAAAUCGAGUGUUGACUCUCCGAGAUUAUCGAGUUUACGUUUUUAGGUACAAAAAUCGUGUUAACUCUAAGGUAAACUCGAUUUCUGGUAAAAUCGGAAGGUUUAACGUGUUUGACUGAGUUAACACUCGGUAAACUCGUGUAAACUCGACCGAUUUGUAGUGGCUGACACAAUAUUUUUUUUUUGAAAGAUUUGUAAGUGCUGACAUAAUUUUAAAUAUGUACAAUUGAAUUUUGUGGCAAUAACAUUUUUAAAAAAUAAAAAAUGUGUAUUGAGAAUAAUGUGUUAGUGUUUUUUUAGUCCCUUAAAAUCUUAUAAAAUCCAUAAAAUUCUUAAAAUUUGAAAAUCAAUAGUAAAAGAAUUUUUUAUUUGUUUUAUUUUUCUUUAUUCAAACGCUAGAAUUUAAAAUCUUGAGUGUAUAAAGUCUUUUACAUGAAAAGUCUUUUAAAAUUCUUUAAAAUCUUGAGUUAUAAAAUCUUUUACAUAAAAAGUCUUUUAAAAUCUCACAGAAUCAAUACAAUCUCACACAGUCCUUUUAAAUCUUAAAUUUUUUUUUUUAUUAAAAUAGUCUUUUAAAAUUCUAAUCCAAUACACCCCUUAGUUGAUAUGAUGCCUCAUAUUAUGUCCAAACAUAAACUUGUAAAGAGAAUAUGUAGCAUAUAUUUUCUACAUGUUGGCUCAUGUAGUAGUUUCUUUUCAACAUAUUUGCCCCCUUCUUCGCAUUAAUGGAUCCAAAUUGUUGUAUCUCAUGUGAAAUCAAUUGAUAUCUCUCGUACUUUAUAUUAGCAAUCUUAUUUAUACCUUUGUAAUUUCUGAGAUCAGAUUUGUUUUGAAGAAAUUAACAAUUAAAUUUACACCAGACAAAGCUAUUGAGAGAAGAAACAAGGGAGGGAAUAGAUUGGUAGAGGCCAAAUCCGCCACUGGUAAACUCAGCCACACAGAGAUAAGUGGGGGAGAGAAGAUGUGCCAUCAACGGUGGUGGUGCAAGGAGACGUAACGUAACCAUGAUUCUUCAAUUGAUAUCGUCUAAUUUUUAUUACGGUAACUUUUUAUUUGAAAAUUCAAGGAUAAAUGUUAAAAGACAAAUAAAUUAGACAGAGGAGAAAUCUACAAUCUAGAAAGUUGAGAGUUGACGAGAUCUCGUGUGAUAUUUUUAGUGGAUAAAUUUAAAUCUUUAUAUGCAUAUGCAUUCGCUUCUCGGUAUAGAUGAAUAAUUUUAAGAUAAGUUGUUACAGUCAAUUGUAGCCCCACUUUACGGUUGUAACAACUUCAUUUCAUUCAAGUUUUGUUGUUACACUUUGUGCACUUGAAUGAUCUUGUGUAAUUGACUUUCUUAAGACUUGCAGUGGUUGAUGAUGCACGACCUAGACUUGUAAUGGCCUUAGACUAGAGAUAGGCCCUUGUACCACUUCACCAUUAUAGAAACAUGCCAAAAAUUCUUGUAAUUUGUCUUGGUAUGUAUUUUAAUAAAAGUUUCCUUGUUUUUAUUCCUUGUUCUUUAUUCUAUUACUUUAGUUCACCAUUAUGAUGGUGAGUAGUCUUCUUCUUUGCCUUAAGAUAGUCAAGGAUGAACUUUCCAUGAUCCCUUUCUUUUCUUUUGUCGUGGGACUUCAAAAUUCUAAUAUAGCCUCAGUGACAGUGUUUUUAAGAAAACUCAAAGGCAACACCCAUUGUUGAAAGACAAUGAUGCUGCUCAAAAUGCAAGGCUAGACAAAUAUCUUGAAGUAAAAGAAUAACCUUAAGAAACGGGUCUUACCAAUACAGAAACCAUGAGAAUAUGGGACUAUGUUGGUAAAACACACCUUUUGUAUCAGAGAACAUAUGAUACUUUAGAGUUUACCCCAUCCUUAGGCAAUUAUUUCUCAUAAAACUAGAAAGGAUUGGAAUUUAGAAUUGUCUAUUGUUGUGAUGAAUUUCAAUGAUUCAAAGACAAUCUUUUAUAAAGAAAUAAGGAGAUCAUGAUCAAAUAGUGGUUACUACUAUUGUGCAAAAUAAAAUAAAAAGAUAGAAGAGAAAAAAGGGUGGUGCAUUUCUAAAAUAGCUAAUAAUAUGGGAAACCCACUUUAGAAUGCUUUACUAUUUGCACCCUUAACUAUAAGAUAAAUACCACCGAUUCACUAAUUCUAAAUCACUUAAAUACAAUAAAGUCAAUCUUAAACAAAUAAAUAAAGCAUAUAUUAUAGUAAUUUAAUUAAAAUGGUGGGUGUUGCACUUACUAUACAUUAUGAACUCUUAAAAUAAUUUAACUCCACCAGAAUAAAUCUUUGCAUAAAAAAGUUAUCCUUGUCCUUGAUUUAACUCUUAAAAAGCAUCCAUGUGAUUUUUUUAGCUGGAAAACAUUAUGAUACUUAUGUGGGAAAUUUAAAUAUUACUUUAGUUUAAAAAAAAGAGAGAGAAUGUUCAGGAAUUAAAACCGACAAAAUUAAACAAAAGUUAAAUUAGGAUUCUUCAUCUACAAGAAUUUAUUCUGGUAUCAUAAUGUUUAAUUCUCUCCUUUAAGAAUUCCUUGAGUUUUUAGAUGAUCCAAAAACUUUUUUUAAAAAAUUUGGUAUCAAAUGCAUGGCUAACUGUUCCGAAAGAUCCAAUCUCUCAUUGUCCAUUUGCAGGAGCUCUAUUUAAAAUUGUAUGGACUAACUUACCAAAACUGACACCGAAAAAUCAAACUUGAGACUUUAAAAAAACACACAUUUUCCAAACCAACACCAUUAGAUAACUAGAAACAACCCCUGUUGAUUAAAAAAAGGUUUAAUUAAGUUUUUAGUCCUUAUAAUUAUUCACAGUUUUAUUUUUAGUCCCUACAAAAUAAAAUCACACUUUUUAGUCUCUAUAAAAUUUUUCAUCAGCAUUUUUAGUCCUUAUAAAAUUUUCCAUCAACACUUUUAGUCUCUGGCAAAAAUUUUCAUCAACAGUUUUGGUCCC